rnacentral:misc_RNA from 1 species
UAUCCGUAGGUGAACCUGCGGAUGGAUCAUUAAAAGUAUUACAUACUUACACUCUCGUGAACUCGUUUUAUAACCAAAAAAUAUGUAGUGUGUCAUGGCAGUGAGGAAACUUGCUCUCAUGCGCAACACGUAUUUUUUUUAUUACACUAUUUACCCUUUGUAUUAACUUGAAUCUAUUUGGCUAUGCGGGAAACUGCAUAACUAAAAAAUAUAAGAAAUUUUCGUGCAACUCUUAGCAACGGAUAUCUUGGCUUCUACAUCGAUGAAGAACGCAGC